rnacentral:rRNA from 1 species
CAAUAGCGUAUAUUUAAGUUGUUGCAGUUAAAAAGCUCGUAGUUGGAUUUCGGUUAAGAGCGACCGGUCCGCCGUUUGGUGUGCACUGGUUGGUUUUAACUUCCUGUAGAGGACGUGCUCUGGGUUUAACGACCUGGACUCGGAGUCUACGUGGUUACUUUGAAAAAAUUAGAGUGUUCAAAGCGGGCUUACGCUCGAAUAUUUCAGCAUGGAAUAACACUAUAGGACUCCUGUCCUAUUUCGUUGGUCUCGGGACGGGAGUAAUGAUUAAGAGGAACAGUUGGGGGCAUUCGUAUUUCAUUGUCAGAGGUGAAAUUCUUGGAUUUAUGAAAGACGAACUUCUGCGAAAGCAUUUGCCAAGGAUGUUUUCAUUAA